rnacentral:rRNA from 2 species
CCCCGGUAAACGGCGGCCGUAACUAUAACGGUCCUAAGGUAGCGAAAUUCCUUGUCGGGUAAGUUCCGACCUGCACGAAUGGCGUAAUGAUGGCCAGGCUGUCUCCACCCGAGACUCAGUGAAAUUGAACUCGCUGUGAAGAUGCAGUGUACCCGCGGCAAGACGGAAAGACCCCGUGAACCUUUACUAUAGCUUGACACUGAACAUUGAGCCUUGAUGUGUAGGAUAGGUGGGAGGCUUUGAAGUGUGGACGCCAGUCUGCAUGGAGCCGACCUUGAAAUACCACCCUUUAAUGUUUGAUGUUCUAACGUGGACCCGUAAUCCGGGUUGCGGACAGUGUCUGGUGGGUAGUUUGACUGGGGCGGUCUCCUCCUAAAGAGUAACGGAGGAGCACGAAGGUUGGCUAAUCCUGGUCGGACAUCAGGAGGUUAGUGCAAUGGCAUAAGCCAGCUUGACUGCGAGCGUGACGGCGCGAGCAGGUGCGAAAGCAGGUCAUAGUGAUCCGGUGGUUCUGAAUGGAAGGGCCAUCGCUCAACGGAUAAAAGGUACUCCGGGGAUAACAGGCUGAUACCGCCCAAGAGUUCAUAUCGACGGCGGUGUUUGGCACCUCGAUGUCGGCUCAUCACAUCCUGGGGCUGAAGUAGGUCCCAAGGGUAUGGCUGUUCGCCAUUUAAAGUGGUACGCGAGCUGGGUUUAGAACGUCGUGAGACAGUUCGGUCCCUAUCUGCCGUGGGCGCUGGAGAACUGAGGGGGGCUGCUCCUAGUACGAGAGGACCGGAGUGGACGCAUCACUGGUGUUCGGGUUGUCAUGCCAAUGGCACUGCCCGGUAGCUAAAUGCGGAAGAGAUAAGUGCUGAAAGCAUCUAAGCACGAAACUUGCCCCGAGAUGAGUUCUCCCUGAGACUUAGAGUCUCCUGAAGGAACGUUGAAGACGACGACGUUGAUAGGCCGGGUGUGUAAGCGCAGCGA